rnacentral:rRNA from 1 species
AGUCGAACGCUGAAGCCUGGUGCUUGCACCGGGUGGAUGAGUGGCGAACGGGUGAGUAACACGUGAGUAACCUGCCCCUGACUUCGGGAUAAGCCCGGGAAACUGGGUCUAAUACCGGAUACGACUGUCGGACGCAUGUCUGGUGGUGGAAAGUUUUUUCGGUUGGGGAUGGGCUCGCGGCCUAUCAGUUUGUUGGUGAGGUAAUGGCUCACCAAGACGACGACGGGUAGCCGGCCUGAGAGGGCGACCGGCCACACUGGGACUGAGACACGGCCCAGACUCCUACGGGAGGCAGCAGUGGGGAAUAUUGCACAAUGGGGGAAACCCUGAUGCAGCGACGCAGCGUGCGGGAUGACGGCCUUCGGGUUGUAAACCGCUUUCAGCAGGGAAGAAGCGCAAGUGACGGUACCUGCAGAAGAAGUACCGGCUAACUACGUGCCAGCAGCCGCGGUAAUACGUAGGGUACGAGCGUUGUCCGGAAUUAUUGGGCGUAAAGAGCUCGUAGGUGGUUGGUCACGUCUGCUGUGGAAACGCAACGCUUAACGUUGCGCGUGCAGUGGGUACGGGCUGACUAGAGUGCAGUAGGGGAGUCUGGAAUUCCUGGUGUAGCGGUGAAAUGCGCAGAUAUCAGGAGGAACACCGGUGGCGAAGGCGGGACUCUGGGCUGUAACUGACACUGAGGAGCGAAAGCAUGGGGAGCGAACAGGAUUAGAUACCCUGGUAGUCCAUGCCGUAAACGUUGGGCACUAGGUGUGGGGGGCAUUCCACGUUCUCCGCGCCGUAGCUAACGC